UGGGGGAGGGUUGAGAUCUCACAAACAUGUUUAACCCCGCCGCAUUUUUGCGCCUGUCCCAAGUCAGGAGCCUCUGGCCUUUGUUAGUCUUGUAUUAUUUUAAUUUUAGUUUCUUGUGUACAAUUUGGAAAUUAGUAUGGCGUUCAUUAUCACUGGACUAGUAUAUAUUUGUUUAGGGGCCAGCUGAGGGACGCCUCCGGGUGCGGGAAUUUCUCGCUAC
rnacentral:lncRNA from 1 species